UCCUCCAGGGGACGACAGCUCCACAGCCGUGCUCUGCCUCCUGCUUAUGGAUUCUCUUUUGGUGCCUGGGAGAAAGGAUGGGCUGGCACAGGAGCCAGACCUGCCCAGGAGGAGCAGCCUUGGAAUGCCCAUCCCAGAAUUGCUGCCAGGCUCAGGGCUGUGGCACCUUGACAGCAGGGUGAAGAGCCACCGGUGGGGCCGAGAUUUGUGCUGCUGGCACAGAGAUCCCAUCCUGGCAUUUUGCUGUUCCAGAAAUAAACUUCGGCUUAGGA